AGCUCCAAUAGCGUAUAUUAAAGUUGUUGCAGUUAAAAAGCUCGUAGUUGGAUUUCGGAAUGGGCCAGUUGGUCCGCCGCAAGGUGAGUUACUGACUGGUUUGUUCUUCUUCGCAAAGACUGCGUGUGCUCUUUACUGAGUGUACGUAGGAUUUACGACGUUUACUUUGAAAAAAUUAGAGUGUUCAAAGCAGGCUAUCGCUUGAAUACAUGAGCAUGGAAUAAUGGAAUAGGUCUUUGGUUCUAUUUUGUUGGUUUCUAUGUCCGAUGUAAUGAUUAAGAGGGACAAUUUGGGGCAUCCGUAUUUCGUUGUCAGAGGUGAAAUUCUUGGAUUUACGAAAUACGAACAACUGCGACAGCACUUGCCAAGACUGUUUUCA
rnacentral:rRNA from 1 species